UAAAAUUUACACGCGGUCGUGACCAAAAUUUAGUAAUACUAUAUAAAAAUAAGAGUAAAACAAAUCCUAUAAGAAUAAAUAAUUCUCAUCAAAAUUCACUCACAUUAUUCAUGUAUUUGAUGCUUUUUGUUGAUGUUCUUGCACAACUACUUUCUACUUUCUCUUUAUAGGCAAAUGCAGCUAACUAUUCUUAAUAGUUAAGUUUGCUUCAUGGUUAGGAAAUGGGUGAGAAUGCAAGUUGUGAAAACUUUGACACUCUCUUUUGCUUAAGAGAAGAAAGAGAG
rnacentral:lncRNA from 1 species